UGCGAGCGUGACGGCGCGAGCAGGUGCGAAAGCAGGUCAUAGUGAUCCGGUGGUUCUGAAUGGAAGGGCCAUCGCUCAACGGAUAAAAGGUACUCCGGGGAUAACAGGCUGAUACCGCCCAAGAGUUCAUAUCGACGGCGGUGUUUGGCACCUCGAUGUCGGCUCAUCACAUCCUGGGGCUGAAGUAGGUCCCAAGGGUAUGGCUGUUCGCCAUUUAAAGUGGUACGCGAGCUGGGUUUAGAACGUCGUGAGACAGUUCGGUCCCUAUCUGCCGUGGGCGCUGGAGAACUGAGGGGGGCUGCUCCUAGUACGAGAGGACCGGAGUGGACGCAUCACUGGUGUUCGGGUUGUCAUGCCAAUGGCACUGCCCGGUAGCUAAAUGCGGAAGAGAUAAGUGCUGAAAGCAUCUAAGCACGAAACUUGCCCCGAGAUGAGUUCUCCCUGACCCUUUAAG
rnacentral:rRNA from 1 species